rnacentral:rRNA from 1 species
CAGUCGCCCGGGAAUACAGAGGGUGCAAGCGUUAAUCGGAAUUACUGGGCGUAAAGCGCGCGUAGGUGGUUUGUUAAGUUGGAUGUGAAAUCCCCGGGCUCAACCUGGGAACUGCAUCCAAAACUGGCAAGCUAGAGUAUGGUAGAGGGUGGUGGAAUUUCCUGUGUAGCGGUGAAAUGCGUAGAUAUAGGAAGGAACACCAGUGGCGAAGGCGACCACCUGGACUGAUACUGACACUGAGGUGCGAAAGCGUGGGGAGCAAACAGGAUUAGAUACCCCCGUAGUCCCUGUCUCUUAUACA